ACCUCUGUAGCUCUGUUGGUUAGACCGCUGCACCAGAAUCGCGGGGCAGCAGGUUCAAUUCCUGCUAGAGGGA